CGCGGCAAAUGAAAUGGAUGCUUUACACUUAGGGGUGUGUAUGGCUCCAAGUAUUAUAUGGCAUCCUUCUGCAAGCAGAGAAGAAAUGACCUCUGCAGAAAAGCUUGUGGAAUUUGUGAUUAAAAACUGCCGCAACAUCUUUGGAGGACACGUCACUGCCCUGUUUGGAGAGUCAUCCGGAAUAUAAAAUACUCAGGAUAAACCCUCAGAUACAUCUAGCUUUCCAGAGAGCAAUACUUCCUCAUGUGAGAGCUUGAAGAAAAAAGCGACUGUGCUGCUGGCCCACAGUGUGAUGAAUCAAAGAAAAUCGUCCAAUUAAAUUGAAGCA